ACUGCUCAGUAACACGUGGACAACCUACCCUUUGGACGGGGAUAAACCCGGGAAACUGGGUAUAAUACCCGAUAGUCCUCGGAUGCUGGAAUGCCCCGAGGACGAAAGCUCCGGUGCCGAAGGAUGGGUCUGCGGCCUAUCAGGUAGUAGUGGGUGUAGCGUACCUACUAGCCUACGACGGGUACGGGUUGUGAGAGCAAGAGCCCGGAGAUGGAUUCUGAGACACGAAUCCAGGCCCUACGGGGUGCAGCAGGCGCGAAAACUUUACAAUGCCGGCAACGGCGAUAAGGGAACCUCGAGUGCCAGGUUACAAAUCUGGCUGUCGUGAUGCCUAAAAAGCAUUGCAUAGCAAGGGCCGGGCAAGACCGGUGCCAGCCGCCGCGGUAACACCGGCGGCUCGAGUGGUAACCGCUAUUAUUGGGUCUAAAGGGUCUGUAGCCGGCCGGAUAAGUCUUUUGGGAAAUCCGGCAGCUCAACUGUCGGGCUUUCAGGAGAUACUGUCUGGCUCGAGGCCGGGAGAGGUGAGAGGUACUUCAGGGGUAGGGGUGAAAUCUUGUAGUCCUUGAAGGACCACCAGUGGCGAAGGCGUCUCACCAGAACGGACCUGACGGCAAGGGACGAAAGCUAGGGGCACGAACCGGAUUAGAUACCCGGGUAGUCCUAGCCGUAAACGAUACUCGCUAGGUGUCGGCCACGGUGCGACCGUGGUCGGUGCCGUAGGGAAGCCGUGAAGCGAGCCACCUGGGAAGUACGGCCGCAAGGCUGAAACUUAAAGGAAUUGGCGGGGGAGCAC
rnacentral:rRNA from 1 species